AUAUAGUAACAUCAAGUAAUAUACGAAGAGAUCGUUCGAAGCCGAGAUUUCACAGUUGCAUGCAGUGUAAACGAUUCUCGGGCCACGUCAUCUCGAACCAAUUAGACGAUGUAUUUCCGGCAAAUCGCCAAGGUUAACCGCCGAUAAGCAUCCCGAGAUGUUCUUACCACCAUAAAGACAGGCUUAGUCGCAUUUAAUCGGUUGCAUGUGGGUCACAAGUUGCAUCCGCCAAACCUAACCGGAUAGAAGGUUUACCGAGUAGAGAGGGAGAAAAUGUGGAGCUCGGUUACUGCGGCUGGCACUGAAAACGGGCCCGCACCACCUUCCAGAAGCAAGCACAGCGCCACUUUGCUCUCCGGCCACGUAUAUCUCCUCGGAGGACGGAACGGCAAUCUUCCCCUCAAAGAUCUUUGGCGAUACAGCCUCGCCGACAGUAAAUGGGAGGAAUUGCAUCCUGGGGGGGAGAGGCCGCCGGCGCUCCAGGAGCACAGCGCGGUAGCUUACAAGGAUUGCCUUUAUAUUUUUGGGGGAGAGCUCGGCUUUUCCGCGGGCACGGAAACGCCGCUUUGGGUCUACAAUGUCAAGACGAACGUGUGGAGGAAGGUAAGAGCGCAACGGGGUUGCGCGGUUCCAAGAGGUCGAAGAGGUCACACCGCUUUGGUCCACCGUGGCCAGAUGCUCAUCUACGGUGGCUACCAAGACUUACGUGGCAGCUCCCCUGAAUUAUGGGCGUUUCAUUUCGAGACAGAAUCGUGGCAUCUUCUGUCCUCGAGCGAGAGCGGGCCAGCGGCGAGGCACAAACACUCGGCCGUGUUGCACGGGGACGCGAUGUACAUUUACGGCGGUAUGACAGAUCUGCAAGAGAGAAGCGAUUGCUGGCGAUGGGACGUGAACACUGCCUCUUGGUGCCUGUUGAGGAAUAAACCUGGGCCGGGACCCCUUCACGGCCACGCAGCCUGCAGGCUGCCCAGUUGUAUGCUGAUUUUCGGCGGGGAGAGCGGCGGUUUGGCCACGAACGAGCUGUGGAGGUUUCAUUUCGGCACGGAGACGUGGGAGAAAUUGUCAGUGCCGGGCCCCAAACCCCAGCCGAGAGCGGAGAGCGUCGCGUUGGCGGUUUCCGAGCUGCUGAUCCGAGGGACCAAUAUCGAUAGCUCGAAGCCGAAACCGAAGAAUCAAAGGACGAGGCUGUGCAACAACAGGAUAUCGCCUAAUGAGGCGCCGGCAAGGCCGAGCUUUCUCAAGGAAAUUUCCAAAUUAUCCCAGAUCAAUCUGUCACGGUUGAGCCACCCGACCAAGUGCAGCUAUUCCGUUUUAAGUGGGCAGGACGACAACGAGGAGAGCCCCCAAGAGGCGAAUACGUAUUAUCCGUUUCAGCAAGUGGACUCGGAGGUUUGCGAGCCGUCCACGGGGAUGGUGAAGUCGCGGAGCGCGAACACGUUGGCCCGUCGAAGGCAAAAACCCCCGGAGUCGAAAAGCGUGGACACAGCCAGUUGCAACAGCCAGGCGGGCAACAGUUCCGGGAUGACCAGAGACCCGAUCUCGGUGCCGAAUUUCCGUGCGCUCACCUUACCCACCCCUGUUCUCACGCCCGUCGAAGCAGCGAGGCUCGUGUUCGUCGACCUGGACGAGAACAGCGACAACGAAGAGGAACGAACGGAGCCUCCUACCUCGAGGCUGAUCGAGGUGCAAGAGGAAAAACGAGACUUUGCGGCCGUGCACCAGGCUUGCCAACCGACGCGGGGCGAGAGUUACAGCUCGCAUCUUUACGAGGCCGCCCUUCAAACGCCGAAAACCCCGACCACUUCGAAAAUUCCUACCUCGGCGUCGGUCCGAUUCGCCGACUUGGAGGAGGGCGAGGAAUCGACGUCGGAUUACGCGAGCAUAGAGGCGAGAAGUCCUGGGGAUCCUCUGGCCGACGACGAUUGGCCGACCGGUCGAAAGGGGAAACAAUAUAGGCCGAUGGCCACGCCGUCGACGAUACGCGAGGGCCAAUUCGGCUUCUGCAAUCCGAAUUACCUUGGGCUGGACGAGGCGAAGAAUCAUCACUACCAUCACCAUCAUCAGCAGCAACAGCAACAGCAACAACAGCAGCAGCAGCAGCAAGCUCAAGACGGGAAGUACGCGAAAUUGUUGAACAGCCCACCGGACAGUGUUUUAGAGGACGAGCCAGGGAGAUCCGCGUCGCAAACAUUCGCGGAACUGUUGGAGCUUCAAGAAAUCAAAAGGGUGCCGAGGGCGCCGCCUAAAAGUUUGCCGUUAGGCUCCCCGUCGAGGAGAGCGGUGAGUGCGUCGAGAGCCGAAAGGCAGAGGGCAAAGGUGGCCGCGAUUGAGGAGGCGGAGACACCCUCGUACGGGCCAGCGCCGCUUUACGUGUUUCUGGUUGGAGGGAAGGAGAAGGGCCAGGUCACGGUGUUCGCGAGGCCCGUUUCAUUAUGGAAAUUGCAAUUAGCGCCACACAUCUUUUAAAGAAAAGAAAGAACGAUAAAUUUCCGUCGAUCCCGAGCCGAAUCGAAGAAAGAUUUUUUUUUUUUUUUUCCUCUUCAAAAAGACUUCGGAAUGUUAUAUCAUUGCAAUUAAUCGUGUUUAAGCUCGUAGAAAGAGAGGGCUUUUCUAGUUUUCUAUUAUUAAUGAUACUUAUUGUUGAAUACAACGCGUUCAGAGUAAAUGUUAAUACCAAAGCGCAAAGUCAAACGAGUGAAAUGUGCAAUCCUUUGUCUACGACUGCGUCCUUUCAAUCUUAAGUAAAUGAUAUACAUGGUAGUAUCUUAUAAGAAUUAUGAUUAAGAUCGAAACUUUAGAUCCACGUUUAUUAUAAUGAUACAAUUUUUCAUAUUAUAGUGAAUAAUAAUACGAGUGAUAGAUUAUUUAAAUUUUUUGAUUCGAAAAUUGAGAGAUAACAUCAAAAGACUCGCCUGAUCUGCGCUUAACUGCCAUCGACUGUGAACAUGAUAUGCAUAGAGAAUAAAAUAGAAUUAAAAUGUAUAAGCUCGACGUGUAACGUUUGACGUUUAAAACAUUCUGAAUAUUAAUGGAAAUCAAUGUGUGAUUGUGCCCAAUGUGAAUAAUUAAAGUACGUUUCAAUUAAAAAUUAGAUUUUUAUAAGAAGAUAGAUAAAUUUUAAGUGGAAUUUUCUCGAAUCCGCGGACUGGACUAAAAAAAAAAUCUAGAAAUAAUUAAUGAAAAUUAAUACGAUUGAUUUUUGUUUUAACUUCAUCACGAAAAAAGGUAUUUCUAACGCGCGAAACGUACAAUCGUAUAAAAGUGAAAAAAAUUGUGUUCUAAAAUAUUAUAGGGAAUAUGUAUAAAACAAAAGAAUCAAUGAAGUCAAAAGUCCCUAACUAUGACUGUAUUUAUGAUGCUAGCAUAGUAUCAUAGAUAUGAUAGAUAUAUCAUAAGCGAAGAAAAUGGUAAAAUACGAUGGAAGGUUCUCUUGUUCAUGUAGAGUUUUUAUGCCCACAAAGGCCCAAUACAUGUAAUCCAUCCAUAUAGUAGCAAAGGUCAACGUGGAACCUCAUAGGCUGAAUAUUAAAACAUUUUGUAUUCAUAAUAAUUUUAUAUUCAUUUCAUAUGAAACGAAAUAAGAAUGGAAAAAUUUAUCUGUCCAAAUGUUAAUUUCUUCUGUAGAAUAUUUUAUAAUAAUAAAGCUGUGUUUAGGAUUUAGUAAGGGCAUGUGCAAUAUGUACAUAUUAUAUAAAUGUAUAUAAGUAUUCUUUGUUGAAAUUAAAACACAACUCUGUUUAACAAAAUUAUUUUUGGUAAUAUUCAGCUAGAGGCCGCAAGCACCCGAAAAAAAAAAAAAUCAAUGUUUUCCAUUCGUAGCACUAGUCAAUUUUACAUUUCACAAUCAUUGUACAAACGUUAAGAUAAAUGUUUCGUAAUGUUAUUUCUCUCCUAAAAUUUUUUAGCCUAAUAUUUUUUCAUUUUCAAUAUGUACAGUAUUAUCCAUGAUAUUUUUUUGCAUUAUAUAUCACAUAAUUGUUCAUUUUGACAAGAAAUUAACAACUUAUUAAUUAGUUAAUUAAACGUACGAAAUCGUGCAUUUAUACCGCCUUUAAAUUUUCGAUUAUCUCGUAAUUUUAUAGUUCUAUAAGUUUAAUCAAUUUCGUACAACGUACGAUCUAAUUUAACGAGAAAAUAAAUUUUAUAAUUUAAAAUGAAAGUAAAGGCCAAACAAAAGCAUAUAUUUAAAAUAAUUAACAUUUCCGCGUAAAUAUUAUUUUAAGUCUUAUACAUGAAUAAUGCAAUCUGAUAGUCAAUUAUGAUCGUAUCGUUAAAUAUAUCCGUUGCCAAAUAUGUACCUAUUUCUCUUUAGAAUGUCUUGCCUCAUAAACAAGAUUCGGAGUAUAAGCUCGAAGAUGUGGAUCAGUUCACAAAAUGAACAAAAAAAAAAAAAA
rnacentral:misc_RNA from 1 species